UUUUUUAAUAUUUUUAGUAGAGACAGGUUUUUGCCAUGUUGGCCAGGCUGGUCUCUAACUCCUGACCUCAGGUGAUCUGCCUACCUCAGCCUCCCAAAGUGCUGGGAUUACAGGCAUAAGCCACGGCCGGCCAGCUCUAGUCUUAAUUUGCUGAAAAAGGGAGGCAAUGAACGAAAGGCCUGCUGGCCUGGGACACAGGAGACCUAGGUUUACCACACAGCCUUGGAAAAUUUCUCUAACUCUCUGGGCCCCUUUGUAACACUCUUCAGUUUAGAGAUUUGGGAGUUAAAAUAGAUCAGGGAUUUCCAAACUCUUCACAGAGUACCAGGCUCUGUGGAGAUGCCUCAUAGGCCUCCAUGACAGGCCAAGAAGAUGGGCUAUGAUCUCUGAAAGCAGCCUCUACUUCAAUCAGAUCAAAGUCAUUCCAUUCUAUGUUUUAUAUGUUGGGAUUCUGCUUAAGAUUUUAUUUGAUAAAAAGAAUCUUCUGUUUAAAAAACAUGUUUACUGACUCCAUUUUAGAUAUUCCCAGAAGAGCCUGGUCUGCUUUCACUCCCCACCCCCAUACCACCGGUGUCUCCCUUCACCCCCCAGGGGCUGUUGGUAAUUCCACCGAGUCUAAGGCAGGGCCCCAAGAGUCAAAGCUGCCUCACAUUCAGGUCUGUUCAGGUUUGACAGUGUUCCCAUCAUCACUGGACAAAAGACAAGAACAAGUCUCAUCCACUCUGAGGUUAGCCCAAGCCAGGUCUCAGCUAAGAGCUGAUACCCUAAACCCUUAUCUCCUGGAUUCAUCUUCAGUGCCCCUGGAAGAUGCUUCCUUCCCCCCAUCUCACUCUCAUAGACCUGAGUAUUCAAAAGUAGAAUGGGUAGGAUAGAGGGGCCAGAAACAGCACUUGGAUGAAUAUACUUCCUUUAUCGAGGGUGACAAACCAAAACAAAAAAAGACCAAACAUGUAAAAACCCAGGGUUCUAGAAA